rnacentral:rRNA from 1 species
UGGGGAAUCUUGGACAAUGGGGGCAACCCUGAUCCAGCCAUGCCGCGUGAGUGAUGAAGGCCUUAGGGUCGUAAAGCUCUUUCGCCUGUGAAGAUAAUGACGGUAGCAGGUAAAGAAACCCCGGCUAACUCCGUGCCAGCAGCCGCGGUAAUACGGAGGGGGUUAGCGUUGUUCGGAAUUACUGGGCGUAAAGCGCACGUAGGCGGACCAGAAAGUUGGGGGUGAAAUCCCGGGGGCUCAACCCCGGAACUGCCUCCAAAACUAUUGGUCUAGAGUUCGAGAGAGGUGAGUGGAAUUCCAAGUGUAGAGGUGAAAUUCGUAGAUAUUUGGAGGAACACCAGUGGCGAAGGCGGCUCACUGGCUCGAUACUGACGCUGAGGUGCGAAAGUGUGGGGAGCAAACAGGAUUAGAUACCCUGGUAGUCCACACCGUAAAACGAUGAAUGCCAGUCGUCGGAUAGCAUGCUAUUCGGUGACACACCUAACGGAUUAAGCAUUCCGCCUGGGGAGUACGGUCGCAAGAUUAAAACUC